GCAGACGCUGCUUAGGAAGUCCUCUUGCAGCACGCUUAAAUUCGAGUGGAGAUCAACAUGGCCAAAUUAAGCACAUGCCUCUUGGUCAUAAUUGCAAUGAGGCUAUUUUUGAUCGAAGUUUCUCAGCAAGCAUUGGAGUACAGGUUUCUUCCUUUCGAAAACGGAAAGUGCAUCUUCAAUGGCGAAAAAGUCGGCGUUGAACAAAGCACGUACGAGAUAAAGACGUGCAAACGGUGGACUUGCUAUGGGAAAAUUAACAGCACUCAUGGCAAAAUGAGGGGCGCAUCGUGUGGGGCUGUGUGGGCUCCACCACCAUGUAAAGUAAUACCUAUGGGACCAGGUAUAUACCCGAAAUGUUGUCCGAAGCCAUCAUGUCCUAACAAGGAUAUUGUAUAAACUAGGCGCUUAUGAAUAAAAAAAUUAUUGAAAUAUUGUCACUU